CUGUCAUGACAAACCAAAGAAAAAAGGAAGACCUUCUCUGAUGGCACGCAAAUUCUGAGGCAGAAAAAUAUCAAUUACCGCUUGGGAUUCCCAACGAGAAUUAUUAUAACCCACAAAGGGAAGACCACCACAUUUAAUUAUGCAGAAGACUUAUGAAGCUGGUUAAACAAAAAAAAUAAUAGUGGAUCAAUGAGUUAACAAUUUCU